GCAAAUGCAUCGUAACCUUCUGUAAUCGUCUUGCUAUCCGAAAACCAACAACCCCUUGAUUAAACAACCAAUCGUCAACUGUUCCAUUGUCGUCAAUCUUGUCUGGAAUACCAUAUUCUGGAGCUCCGGCAUUUGGUGUGGACCUUCAACCAUCGUUGAUGCGCAACAUCCUUGCACAUUCCAGUUGCAGUCGUAAUCUCUGAAGCACAUCCUUGGCUUGUUUCCCAAGUAAUGAAGAGCAUAGAGGAGGAUUGGUCAGGCAGGCGGGGCACUUGGGUUUACCUAUAUUCCUCCAACAAUUGGGCAUACAUAUUUGCUCUUCAUUGAUGAGUUGCAUGGCCGUUUGGUUACGCUUUUGGAUAUCAAACUGACAUGACAUACAAAGCAGUGGCUGACCUGAGCAUAGUCUGAACCAAACAUUGCUGAACGCUUUGCUAGUGGUGGGUAGAUAGUUUCAUCGAUGUGGUAGUUUUUUAGUUAUAUUGUUUCCUUUUAGUAUACGAGUUACUUUGAUAUGGUAGUUUCGUAGUUAUAUUGUUUCCCUUGAUAUAAUUUUUACAUUCCUAGUUAUACAUCCUUUGGUAUAGUUGCAUUAAUAUGACUG